rnacentral:rRNA from 1 species
AGUGGGGAAUCUUGCGCAAUGGGCGAAAGCCUGACGCAGCCAUGCCGCGUGAAUGAUGAAGGUCUUAGGAUUGUAAAAUUCUUUUAGCAGGGACGAUAAUGACGGUACCUGCAGAAAAAGCCCCGGCUAACUUCGUGCCAGCAGCCGCGGUAAUACGAAGGGGGCUAGCGUUGCUCGGAAUUACUGGGCGUAAAGGGAGCGUAGGCGGGUUAUCAAGUUGGAGGUGAAAGCCCAGGGCUCAACCUUGGAAUUGCCUUCAAAACUGAUAGCCUAGAGUAUGAUAGAGGUAAGUGGAACUCCGAGUGUAGAGGUGAAAUUCGUAGAUAUUCGGAAGAACACCAGUGGCGAAGGCGACUUACUGGAUCAUGACUGACGCUGAGGCUCGAAAGCGUGGGGAGCAAA